rnacentral:rRNA from 1 species
UACGUAGGGUGCAAGCGUUGUCCGGAAUUAUUGGGCGUAAAGAGCUCGUAGGCGGUCUGUCACGUCGGCUGUGAAAUCCCGAGGCUCAACCUCGGGUCUGCAGUCGAUACGGGCAAACUAGAGUAUUGCAGGGGAGACUGGAAUUCCUGGUGUAGCGGUGAAAUGCGCAGAUAUCAGGAGGAACACCGGUGGCGAAGGCGGCGACCUGGUCCGACACUGACGCUGAGGCGCGAAAGCGUGGGGAGCGAACAGG